rnacentral:rRNA from 1 species
AGAGUUUGAUCCUGGCUCAGAGCGAACGUUAGCGGCAGGCCUAACACAUGCAAGUCGAGCGAGAAAGGGGCUUCGGCCCUGAGUAAAGCGGCGGACGGGUGCGUAACACGUGGAUAAUCUGCCCUUCGGCGGGGGAUAACAGUCCGAAAGGAUUGCUAAUACCGCAUACGUCAGGGAGGACUCCGGUUCUCCCUGGGAAAGAGGGCGCCCGCAAGGGGCUCUCACCGGAGGAUGAGUCCGCGGCCCAUCAGCUAGUUGGCGGGGUAAUGGCCCACCAAGGCUUAGACGGGUAGCUGGUCUGAGAGGAUGAUCAGCCACACUGGGACUGAGACACGGCCCAGACUCCUACGGGAGGCAGCAGUGGGGAAUAUUGGGCAAUGGGCGCAAGCCUGACCCAGCCAUGCCGCGUGAGUGAUGAAGGCCUUCGGGUCGUAAA